rnacentral:SRP_RNA from 1 species
GCCUCCAGGACUCCCAGCUACUCAGGAGGCUGAGGUGGGAGGAUCACUUGAGCCCAGGAGUUCUGGACUGUAAUGCGCUAUGCCGAUCGGGUGUCUGCACUAAGUUCGGCGUCAAUAUGGUGACCUCCCGGGAGCGGGGGACCACCAGGCUGCCUAAGGAGGGGUGAACCAGCCCAGGUCGGAAACGGAGCAGGUCAAAACUCCUGUGCUGAUCAGUAGUGGGAUCACGACUGUGAAUAGCCACUGUGCUCCAGCCUGGGCAACACAGCGAGACUUGGUCUCU